rnacentral:rRNA from 1 species
GAGGAAUAUUGGGCAAUGCCCGCAAGGGUGACCCAGCAACGCCGCGUGGAGGAUGAAUGUCGUAAGAUUGUAAACUCCUGUUAGAGGAGAAGAAUAGUACCGGUUGGACCGGUAUAUGACUGUACCCUCAGAGAAAGCCCCGGCUAACUACGUGCCAGCAGCCGCGGUAAUACGUAGGGGGCAAGCGGUGUCCGGAUUUACUGGGUGUAAAGGGCGCGCAGGCGGGAUAAAAAGUCAGUGGUGAAAUCCUACAGCUUAACUGUAGAACUGCCUUUGAUACUUUUAUUCUUGAGUUCGGGAGAGAGAGACGGAAUUCCAGGUGUAGUGGUGAAAUACGUAGAUAUCUGGAAGAACACCAGUUGCGAAGGCGGUCUCUUGGUCCGACACUGACGCUGAGGCGCGAAAGCGUGGGGAGCAAACA